CAUAAAUUAACUAAGCGGUAUAGUACAAAACUUUUAAUUUUGAUGUCAUAGGUUCGAUUCCUAUAUUCAUGA
rnacentral:tRNA from 1 species